GAACACCUGCAGAGAGUUUUUCAAGGCUCCUGAGAAGAUCCCCAGGACUGAUCCUCUCUGCAGAGCAUCUACAAGCUCUGUCCAUCACCGAGGACCCCGCCCACCCUCAUCAUGAACUCCUCCCCUCACCCUGCAGGGAACAUGUUUCUACGCUGCGCACAUGACAAUAAACUCUUGGAAUCUUUGAGUCAUGUGAGGAACCCAGAGGUUCCUGAUAAAACCUUUAACCCCCACCAGCCUCUUUAAGAACUGAAGAACACUUUGAGGAAACGUCUUCGAGAAACUCUACUCUCAGAUUCUUAAAACAGAAAACCACCAAAAUAAGAUGAACGUCUUAAACUCAGGAAGAAUUGUUUUUGUUCAUAUUUGCUGGACCAUCGUCUCUCGGGUGGAGGAGGAGGAGGAGGAGGAGGAGGAGGAGGCCUCCGGAGGGAAAACCAAGCCUCCUGUGACAUCACUCUGUGGGAUACGACCUCUUGUUUUGGGAAGUGGAAUGUGUCGCCGUGGCAACCAAGUUCCUGGUCCAGUGUUUGUGAAAUUUCCCCCUCCGAAAAAAACGAGAUUAUAACAUCACGGUCACCACCAUCUCCAGAGGUGGAGGUGUGAUCUCAUUACAGUUGAUGCAGCCUUCAUGUAUUCACAGGCCUGACAGGAUGGAAACAACACCAUCACCAGGGAAGUUUUUAUCUCUGACUUUAAUGAUGGAUCAACCUGGAACUGGACACAUCAUGAAAUAUAGUUUGUGUGCUUCUACACAGGCCACAGACGGUGGUUUGGAAAGUUUGAUAAGUGCCAGUGCUUCCGCAUCAUUAGACCCCCUACCUACUAUAUGUGUAGUAUAGUAGUGGAGAAUAAUAUUAAUAAAUGACUAUUGCUGCUUUGCGUUCAAUAUUAAGAUUUAAAUUACACAGGUUCAAAUAUUCUUUUUUUUUUUUUUUUUUUUACUUUAAAGCAAAAAUAAAA